rnacentral:rRNA from 1 species
UACGUAGGGUGCAAGCGUUAAUCGGAAUUACUGGGCGUAAAGCGUGCGCAGGCGGUUAUGUAAGACAGAUGUGAAAUGCCCGGGCUUAACCUGGGAACUGCAUUUGUGACUGCAUGGCUAGAGUUUGGCAGAGGGGGGUAGAAUUCCACGUGUAGCAGUGAAAUGCGUAGAUAUGUGGAGGAACACCGAUGGCGAAGGCAGCCCCCUGGGUCAAGACUGACGCUCAUACACGAAAGCGUGGGGAGCAAACAGG